AGGGUCCUUAUUUAUAGACGGAGAGGGCAACCGGUUGACAGUGACGUCUGUAACCGCCUGAUAGUGGGCUGUUCAGAGCCGCCUGAAGUUUGUUACGGAGAGUAGUGGCAUCAGGGGUCAUUCAGGGCCACAUGGAGUUGGUUACGGAGAGUGAAGUGGUGGCCGUUGUCGUGACUUGCCAAAGAGUAGUGGAGCCCUGUGGAAUCUACUGCUG
rnacentral:lncRNA from 1 species